rnacentral:rRNA from 1 species
UACGUAGGGCGCAAGCGUUGUCCGGAAUUAUUGGGCGUAAAGAGCUCGUAGGCGGUUUGUCGCGUCUGCUGUGAAAACCUAAGGCUCAACCUUGGGCUUGCAGUGGGUACGGGCAGACUAGAGUGCGGUAGGGGUGACUGGAAUUCCUGGUGUAGCGGUGGAAUGCGCAGAUAUCAGGAGGAACACCGAUGGCGAAGGCAGGUCACUGGGCCGCAACUGACGCUGAGGAGCGAAAGCAUGGGAGCGAACAGG